rnacentral:rRNA from 1 species
AGAGUUUGAUCAUGGCUCAGAUUGAACGCUGGCGGCAUGCCUUACACAUGCAAGUCGAACGGUAACAGGUCUUCGGAUGCUGACGAGUGGCGAACGGGUGAGUAAUACAUCGGAACGUGCCCGAUCGUGGGGGAUAACGGAGCGAAAGCUUUGCUAAUACCGCAUACGAUCUACGGAUGAAAGCAGGGGACCGCAAGGCCUUGCGCGGACGGAGCGGCCGAUGGCAGAUUAGGUAGUUGGUGGGAUAAAAGCUUACCAAGCCGACGAUCUGUAGCUGGUCUGAGAGGACGACCAGCCACACUGGGACUGAGACACGGCCCAGACUCCUACGGGAGGCAGCAGUGGGGAAUUUUGGACAAUGGGCGAAAGCCUGAUCCAGCCAUGCCGCGUGCAGGAUGAAGGCCUUCGGGUUGUAAACUGCUUUUGUACGGAACGAAAAGACUCCUUCUAAUAAAGGGGGUCCAUGACGGUACCGUAAGAAUAAGCACCGGCUAACUACGUGCCAGCAGCCGCGGUAAUACGUAGGGUGCAAGCGUUAAUCGGAUUACUGGGCGUAAAGCGUGCGCAGGCGGUUAUAUAAGACAGGUGUGAAAUCCCCGGGCU